GGAGAAGGAGAAGGAGAAGGAGAAGGAGAAGGAGAAGGAGAAGGAGAAGAAACAAGCUGAUACUCAGAACCUCAGCGCCAACUGCAGACUUCUUCAGGAAUAAUGAGGCCUUGGCUACUGAGAUGACGCAGGCCACUCUGCAAGCUUAAGGACUUGGGUCACAAUCCUUGGUACCCAUGAUGGAGAGAGAGAACCAACUCUGAAAGUUAUGCUCUAAUCUCCACAGGUAAGCCAUUGCAUGCACAUGACUGGACUCACACAUACAAGGCCCCUGCCCAAAUUACACCCAGAUAGCCAUGGAAACUGAAUGUGUAUAACUGGCUCGCACAUUCCCAAUAGGGCCCUACUCCUUUACCACAGCCUUGGCAGGCUGUGAGAAGAAGCAGAGGGAAGAGGAGUUUUAUACUUAUUCUGGUUCCUUCUCUUAGCUUUGUCCAACUAAAAUGCAUCCCAAAUCCCGUGUAGAGAGCCAUCUCUCAAGUGCUAUGCCUCACUGCAGGAAGGUGUAGUACGGCUGGCAUGGUCCACACCAAGUUCAUGAGAGGAAGUGCUGGUCAUCAUACAGAUACACACCCACAGGGACACAAGUGGCACAGGACACACAAUCACACACAGUUAAGCACGGUGAUGUAGGACACACAGGCAUAUAGACAACUUAUCACACAGAUGUAGAGCCAUGAACACACAGGUACACACACACACACACAUACACACAGGGACAUGAUGGACACAUGCUAUGCUAUACCCCUAAAGAGUAGAGCAAGCACACGUGAGGUGCACACAGAACCAUCAUACCAUUAGCAGCCAUCACUUGGGAGGGAUGGGAGUUGGAGGAGGACAUGGAGACAGGGAAGGGAAGACCAUCUAGGAACCUCACUGUCUAGCAUCAAAGCCUGGUGCCGCCCUGAGGGACAGCAGUCUUGGCUCCAAUGAAGAUAUAGGAACAAGAUACCUGACAGUCCACCAGACCCAAUGGAGGCUUCUACAAGGUAUCGCUUACCGACCUGGACAUAGAAAUCAUACACGGAAUGAUUUACCUGUGCCGUGAGUCUCUGGGGUUGUUCCUGGCACCUUUAGAAUGGAAGCUUCAGGAAGACAUCUCUGAAAGUAAUGAGAGACUAAGAGUCAAGCCCCUGGGUCCUCCACCCUCACGGGGCGCUUGGGUUUCAGACAGGCACUAAAUACAAACUCCUUAGGGCCCCAAGCAGAUGACCUCUCUAUCCAGUUCCUGCGGGGCUUGUUCACUGCACCAGAAGUGAGGUGCUGGGCAGCCAGCAAAGGGGAAGCCUGGGUCAGCUGGUGCGCUUGCUUGCUCACCUCACCACAGACACCACAAAUAACCACUUCUCUUUUCUUUCCUUCUCC
rnacentral:lncRNA from 1 species